GAUGAACGCUGACAGAAUGCUUAACACAUGCAAGUCAACUGUGGCGGACGGGUGAGUAACGCGUAAAGAACUUGCCUCACAGCUAGGGCCAACCUUUGGAAACGAAUGCUAAUACCUGAUACUGUGGGAGCGGUUUGCGUCCCAUGAGCUCGUUGGGGAGGUAACGGCUCACCAAGGCGAUGAUGGGUAGCCGGCCUGAGCGGGUGAUCGGCCACAAGGGGACUGAGACACGGGCCGUACGCCAACGGGAGGCAGAGGUGGGGAAUAAUGGACAAUGUACCAAAGUCUGAUCCAGCAAUUCUGUGUGUACGAUGAAGUUUUCGGAAAGUAAAGUGCUUUAAGUUGGGAAGCGGUACCAACAGAAGAAGUGACGGAUAAAUACGUGCCAGCCGCCGCGGUAAUAC
rnacentral:rRNA from 1 species